GUGUGUGUGUGUGUGUGUGUGUGUGUGUGUGUGUGUGUGUGUGUGUGUCAUCAUGGGGAGAACCUCUAUUGUGACUCAGAGCAGCUGGGAGGGUCAGGGUUGUUUUUGGCCCUGAGUGUGUGUGAAUUUAUCGACUCUGUGACUCAGACUGAAAACAGGAACCACGUUUGCAGACGUAGAAAAACACUCUUCUGUUUUGACAUGUGAGAUUUGAAUGACUAAAAAUAGCUGUUCCUCUCAGGCUCCUCUUCUUCUUCCUCUUUAAUUCACACAGAAACAACAUGGCUGCCAGCAUUAAAGGGCUAUUCCGACUUUUGAGAAAGUCUGUUGGCAUGAGGGAACACGUGUGUUUGUAAUUUUAAUGGACGCAGCGCUCAUGUCGUCUUACGCCUGCUGAACAUGAAUCAGCUCCAAAGAUACUAAAGUUACAUCAACUGGUGAGUUUGUCAGUCUGACACACAGACAAAACAAACAGUCCAAAAAUAAACCAGCUGAAAAGUCUCUCAAUAGAGCGAAGACUCAAACCAGAGUUUGGCGAAGUCUCUCUGAAGAAGUUCAACCAUAACCUUAUCUGCAGAAUCGGUUGCCUAGCUUACGUGCAGUUUUUCCUGACCCCCGACCUCCACCUUCAUCCUGAUCGUCUCCUCAAAGGUCGUAUCCUCCGAUCGUAGCUGAUCGUAACCAUUCAAGUUAACGUGUCAAUUUACACCGACUUCUUUCCGUUCCUCUGCGGAUCGCCGGACUCCUCAGCUGAUCACAAGAGUUCUAUUUUUUCUGGACGCCGGAGCAUGGCGGAUAAAUUCAGCACAGAUUAACCCGUGCUGGAAAGGAAGUCGGGCACAGACACAAAAUAAAACAUCCGGCUUCUUUUCAAAAUAAAACACUCCGUGUUUCAGGAGGAUCGUAUUUCACACCAUGCAAACGGGCGGAGACGAACAAGUGAAAGGUUUUUAGACGUCAUUUCACCCCGAUGACACCAUGGAUGAGGAGAUGCUGAUUCUAGAAGUCUAGAAGUAGAUUUCCUCCUCUGGAAGGACACAAUCUACUGCUUAUAUAUCUAUGUGUCUGUCUUUAGAGAGACGACUCGUUAUCACAGGAUUGAACGUGAAUCUGUGGGUUCUUGUGAGUUCUCGCGAUUCCCGCUGUUGGUAAUCCGCCACGAAAUUCGCCUCACAAACGGAUCCCAUAGGAACUGGCGGACAGUGAGAAUCGCCGCCGUUCCGGAUGUGGUGAAAAUUGGGAUAACAGUUUCUUAUUAAAGGGACGGAGCUGACCGAGCUCCACUGUAACUCACGCUGUGUUCCAGUUUCCUCGGGAGUCGUCUGGCGGAGUUGGGAAUGACGUUUCACCCGAGUUGACGGCGUUCCAGUAAACAAGUCGGAAGACCAAGAUGGACGCCUACUGUCUGCUGUCUGCUGUUGUCAGCUGUUGUUAGCGUUACCAGUUGUAAACAAACACAGUAUUCGACUCUAUAAACACCAGCGCAGCGUGUUCACAGUGAGAGGUUGAGCAGUAAAACAUGAACCUUUAAUUUAAUUUCACAAAAACAAACAGAAGUGCUGAUGAAUAAAACAUGAUGAGAGUUUUUACUGUUACUCUUCACUGUUGAUGCGCUGCGCCGCCAUCUUGGAUUAUGAUGUUGGCAUCAAGUUGGGAUUGAUGAGGAUCGUCCGACUGAGUCAGAAAUCCGACUUCAGGGGGCGUUCCAGAUGAAUUUCCAUCUUGGAGCCUGAAAAUCCCGACUUCCAAGUACAACUUGAACGCAGCGUUAAACACUUACUGAUGACAUAAUACUUAUAAUACGACCCCUUUAAUCUAUAAUCUGAGUUUAAGAACUCAGAUUAAGACACCCAGAUAAUGAGAUUGGAAUUAGAUUUCCUCGAUCAUGUAACCAGCGUAGUCGGAGUAUGACGCCACGCCCCUGUAACCCCGUAACAAACCCCCAGAGUAGAGGAGUAGCGUCGGUCUCCUCUUUAGAAAAAGUAGCGCGUCCAUCAUGUCGGACAAAAACAACGCUGUACGAUGCUCCAUCUUCUUGUUUCUCCAAAAUGUCCCAGCAGCAGUUGGAGACACUUCUGACGUCUGACACCGACCUGCUGUUGUUGUUGACGGUUGGAUGGGGUCGGAAACAGCGCCGCUGAAAAGACACAUAUCGCCCCCUAGUGUUGGGGAGGAGGACACGUUCACGUCAAUAAUUUCAGUUUUCUCAGCUGCAUGUAAACGAGGACGAGGAGAGAAGUCUGAUUCAGAGAGAAAGACGAGUUAUGAGGUUAGUCUGAUUAAUCCAGGGGUGGACAGUCAUCAGGCUGCAGGUUUUCUUUCCAACCCAAAACUCCACCAGGUGAGUUCACCGAUGAGUCUCUGCUCUCUCUUGGAGGUCAUCAGUGAAAUCACCUGGUGGAGUUUGGGGUUGGAAAGACACCUGCAGCCUCUCGGCCCUCCAUGACACAUGACUGUCCACCUCUGGAUUAAACUGUGACUGUAAACAUGUCGAGUGUCCGACAUCUCGGGGGUGAAAGUGUAAAAAAAUACCGCUGUAGUCCAGCAGGUGGAGCUUGAGGGCCAUUUUCAUGUCAUAAGGAACCCGGACAAAACAACAUAAACUGAGACCAUGAGGAAAUAAAAACAUCAAACAGGUAAGAAAAAGAAAAUGUAAAUAAAAGGAGGUCGAAAGCAGAAACAGGAGAGUCAAUAUCAAAGAGAAUAUCAACAAUGAUGAUAAAAUAAUAACAGGAAAUACUUUUAAUAACAGUUAUGAUAAAAUAGAGGAACAGAAAUGAGCGAGAGAUGAAAGAAUAAAAGGUCUAAAAGGUUAAAAAGAAAAGAGUUUAACAAAAGAUAAAAAGACAAAAAAGUAGAAAUAAGAUGAAAGCGGUCAAAGAUAAAAGAGACUCUUCAACAGUGUUUGUGUGAUCCGGAUCGGACCACCUGCUGUGUCUGUGUUAUUCUCUUUGAUUCCUCGCCGUGGUCGACCCUCGGUUUGUGAGAAACGCCGUGGCGGCUGUGAGGCUGGCACAGUCGUCACUCUGAAUGUGAGCUAAUGAUGUCGGAGGGAAAUAAUGAGAUCCUGUAACACGACAGGAUCAGACUCUCCGCCGUGAACUCGGGGUAAAUUUGUCUUAAUCCCUCCGGCGUGUCUCUCAGGCCGCUGCACGUCUGGAUUAGCAGCUGCGUCUGCGGGGCGCUCGGAAAAACAAAAGUGUCACAACUCAGGAGCAUGAAGUGGAAACAGGCAGGAAGGACACACACACACACACACACACACACACACACACACACACACACACACACACAGCCACAGGGGGAAAACGGUGUGUCUGCACGUCAUCUGUGAGGCCCGGGAACACCUGCUGGUACCUUCUGCAGGUCAGAACCGGACACAACUGGGUCAAAGGCAGAAAAUCUGAAGGCUCUGGAUGUGGUGGGGCGGUCCUGGUUGACACGCCGGACCGGGGUGGUGGUCCCUAUCUUUAAGAAGGGGGACCAGAGGGUGUGUUCCAACCACAGGGGGGUCACACUCCUCGGCCUCCUGGGAAACGUCAGGGUGCUGGAAAAGAGGGUCCGAUCGAUAGUUGAACCUCAGAUCGAAGAGGAACGAUGUGGUUUUCAUCCCGGUCACAGAACCACGGAUCAGCUGUUCUUCCUCGCUCGGGUUCUUGAGGGGAGAUGGGAGUUUGCCCAACCAGUCCACAUGUGUUUUGUGGACUUGGAGAAGGCCUAGACCGUGUGCCUCGGGGAAUCCUGAGGGGGGUGAUCCGGGAGUACAGGGUGGAGGGUUCCUUACUAAGGAACGUCCAGUCCCUUUACCAAAGGAGCACGAGCUCGGUCCGUGAACUCAGCUGUGAGUGAGAUCCAUUUCCAGUGAGAGUUGGACUCCUCCAGGGCUGCCCUUUGUCUCCGGUUCUGUUCAGAACCUUUAUGGACAGAAUCUCUAGGUGCAGCCGGGGGUGGAGGGUGUCCAGUUCGGCAGGCAGAGGAUCGCGUCGCUGUUUUUUACGGAUGAUGUGGUUCUUCUAGCUUCGUCGAGCAGUGACCUUCAGCUCUUGCUGGGGCGGUUCACGGCCGAGUGUGAAGCGGCUGGGAUGUGAAUCAGAACCUCCAAGUCCGAGGUCAUGGUCCUCAGUCGGAAAAAGGUAGAUCACCUUCUCCAGGUCGGAGGGGCGGUCCUGUCUCAGGUGGAGGAGUUCAAGUAUCUCAGGAUCUUGUUCAGGAGUGAGGGUAGGAUGGAGCAGGAGAUCGACAGGCGGAUCGGAGCGGCGUCAGCAGUGAUGCGGACGCUUAACCGAUCAGUCGUGAUGAAGAAAGAGCUGAGCCGUAAGGAGAGACUCUGGAUUUACCGGUCGAUCUACGUGCCGAUCCUCACCUAUGGUCAUGAACUUUGGGUAAUGACCGAAAGAACAAGAUCGCAGAUACAAGCGGCUGAAAUGGGUUUCCUCCUCAGGGUGUCCGGGCUCAGCCUUAGAGAUAGGGUAAGGAGCUCGGACACUCGGGAGGCGCUCAGAGGAGAACCGCUGCUCCUCCACGUGGAGAGGAGUCAGCUGAGGUGGCUCGGACAUCUGGUUAGGACGCCUUCUGGACGCCUCCUGUUAGAGGUGUUCCAGACAUGUCCCACCGGGAGGAGAGCUCGUGGCCGGACCAGGACCAGGUGGAGGGAUUAUAUCUCUGGCCUGGCCUGGGAGCGCCUGGGAAUCCCCCCGGAGGAGGAGCUGGUGGGAGUGUCCGGGGUGAGCGCCGUCUGGGCUUCCCUCCUGAAGCUGCUGCCCCCGUGACCCGGACCAGGAUGAAGCGGAAGAAACGGCAGAAAACAUCUACAAAGACCACAGAGUAGACCUGGGCCACCGAUCAGGUUUUAGUCUCCAUUACAAUGUUGGCUCCCCAAAAUGAGUCUUGGAUGAUGCAGUUGGGGCUGAGUCCACUUCACAGACCCCAGGUUGAAGACCCAGGUCCUGCAGGUCCCUGGAAUCAGCUUAAAUAAACAUUCAGGUCAAGAGGUUCCUGAUACAGGACAAAACCAGAGGAGGUACUGACUCUAGAGCAUGUUUAUUCAAGGGUUUAAGAUUACACUAACCUCAUGACCAUAUAAGGAAGAGAGGGCGGGGCUUGGGCGGAGGAGGAGGGGUUCUGUUGUUUCAUCUUUGUUCACUGGAACAGCUAAGAGAGCUGGAAACGAAGUAAACUACACGAGAACAGACCAGCUGACUUCUGAGAGCGGGUUUUAGGUCGCCAUGGUAUCGGCCUGCCAAUCCCAGGUAGCUCCGCCCUAACUCCGCCCCUGUUUGAUAGUCCCUAACAUGCCAAAUGGGAGUCUUACUGUGUUGAGGAAGACGGUCAACCAGGGAUCAGGUCCGUAAACUCACGGGGAAGACUUUGGUUCUGACCCGAGUUCUUCACACUGAACAGAGUCGGUGAAGAACUCGGGUCAGAACUGCCUUUCUCCAGACUGUCUACACACACAGAAACCUGACAGCAGAGCAUCUCAAACAUCCACCUGCAGACAGGUAACCUGAGCCACUCUCACCUGUGCGGCUCGGCCAGGUGACGGAAAGUGUCCAGGUAACAUUCCUGUCACAUUCCAGUCCGCUGAGCGCCGCCGUGCCGGAGGGCGUGAGGGAUCGAGGGGGGGAGGGCGGGCUGAGAACUCCACAGGUGGGUCCAAGUACACACCUGUGUCUUUCUGUACAGGUGACAAAGUCCAACGACUGUUUCUGCUAUUGUUAUAAUGAGCAGUUCUAUAAUGAACACUUCUAUUAUUAACAUUUCUAUAAUGAACAUGAAGACUUCUAUACUGAACACGUCUAUAAUCUCUGAGGGUUCAGGAGGCAGAAACUCCUCCCACAGACCUGUGUGUACACCUGUCUCACCUUUACCUGUCAGCUAAUAAAAACAACAUGAUCAAAUCAGAAUAAAGAUCGAUUAUACAUUAUCUUCUCCGGACUCUGACUCCUCAUCGGCAGUAAAAUGAGCCGAUUAAAACCAUGGGAACAAUAUCAACAAGAGGUGGCAGAUGGUGUUGCUAUGGAAACCCUUAUCACCCUUUGACAUGACAGAGAAACUGAUUCUCUCCACAGACAGACUGACGAACAGUUCAUCAUCCUUCGACCUGAACC